GGCUCACCAAGGCGACGAUCCCUAGCUGGUCUGAGAGGAUAAUCAGCCACACUGGAACUGAGACACGGUCCAGACUCCUACGGGAGGCAGCAGUGGGGAAUAUUGCACAAUGGGCGCAAGCCUGAUGCAGCCAUGCCGCGUGUGUGAAGAAGGCCUUCGGGUUGUAAAGCACUUUCAGUCGUGAGGAAGGUGGUGUAGUUAAUAGCUGUAUUAUUUGACGUUAGCGACAGAAGAAGCACCGGCUAACUCCGUGCCAGCAGCCGCGGUAAUACGGAGGGUGCGAGCGUUAAUCGGAAUUACUGGGCGUAAAGCGCAUGCAGGUGGUUUGUUAAGUCAGAUGUGAAAGCCCGGGGCUCAACCUCGGAAUUGCAUUUGAAACUGGCAGACUAGAGUACUGUAGAGGGGGGUAGAAUUUCAGGUGUAGCGGUGAAAUGCGUAGAGAUCUGAAGGAAUACCGGUGGCGAAGGCGGCCCCCUGGACAGAUACUGACACUCAGAUGCGAAAGCGUGGGGAGCAAACAGGAUUAGAUACCCUGGUAGUCCACGCCGUAAACGAUGUCUACUUGGAGGUUGUGGCCUUGAGCCGUGGCUUUCGGAGCUAACGCGUUAAGUAGACCGCCUGGGGAGUACGGUCGCAAGAUUAAAACUCAAAUGAAUUGACGGGGGCCCGCACAAGCGGUGGAGCAUGUGGUUUAAUUCGAUGCAACGCGAAGAACCUUACCUACUCUUGACAUCCAGAGAACUUUCCAGAGAUGGAUUGGUGCCUUCGGGAACUCUGAGACAGGUGCUGCAUGGCUGUCGUCAGCUCGUGUU
rnacentral:rRNA from 1 species